UUUGUAGAUGGUCAUAGACAUGCUUUCCUUUCUGCAAGCUAUCGCUGUUUUUUGUAUUUUUGGCACAUACAACGAAUUUAAAUGCGGAGUUUCAGAUCAGUAUUGGUCAAAGAUUAAAUCUUCACUUUGGACCCUAUCGGAUCGGUGAGACUUAUCGAGGAAUAUGUGACGUGGAAAUAUUCCCUGAUGAUAAUAUAACGAAUGUGGACGUCUAUUGGAUAGUUAAGAAUACUGACUAUUGUCACAACGGUCAAAAAAUAUGGCUAAAUUUGAACUAUACGUGUAAUGCAACUACGGUACAGAAUACGACUUACUUCGAACUUAGAGUUCCAGACCUGACACUAGAAGAUGCUGGUACAUACGCUUGUAAAGUAAAGCAUGAUAUUAAAGGUAUCACGUCAGCUUUUUCUGAAAAUAUUACAGUCAUAGAUCCUUCUAUCACAACACCAGAAUCAACAACCGUAACGACUCUUAGUGGCAGGGAUAACACAGGAGGAGCUGCCUCAGUUAAACCCAAACUUCUAUCAACUAUCGCCAUUAUGUUGUCAGCCUCUCUAGUUUAUAUUUGAUUCUCAGGAAAAACCAAACUUCUAUCAACUAUCGCCAUUAUGUUGUCAGCCUCUCUAGUUUAUAUUUGAUUCUCAGGAAAAACCAAACUUCUAUCAGCUAUCGCCAUUAUGUUGUCAGCCUUUCUAGUUUAUAUUUAAUUUUAUAUGCGACUGUACAUUAUAUUUAUAUAAUAUAUGGUCAAUUCAUACCUUAUGAUUUGUUUUUCGGUCAAUAUAAAGUAAACCUCUAAAACAAUUAAACUCCUUUAACUUAAUGAUCAAAGUAAUAAAAAAAUUUAGGUGCUAUUUUUAUUUACUUUUUUUUUUACUAUUCCAUGAACCUAAUAUGCAAUUAUAUUUAUGUCAUACAUGCAUAAAUAUGUAAUGUUUGUUUUGGAGUGCUUGCUUUUAAUUUGUAAUAAAAAUUAAUUUGUAUCUUU